rnacentral:rRNA from 1 species
UACAGAGGUCCCAAGCGUUGUUCGGAUUCACUGGGCGUAAAGGGUGCGUAGGCGGUCGGGUAAGUCUGUUGUGAAAUCUCCGAGCUUAACUCGGAAACUGCAAUGGAUACUAUUCGGCUCGAGGAAUGGAGGGGAGACUGGAAUACUUGGUGUAGCAGUGAAAUGCGUAGAUAUCAAGUGGAACACCAGUGGCGAAGGCGAGUCUCUGGACAUUUCCUGACGCUGAGGCACGAAAGCCAGGGGAGCAAACGGG